rnacentral:rRNA from 1 species
UCCUCCCUCUUUCUUCGUGCUUAACACAUGCAAGUCGAACGGAAAGGCCCUGCUUUUGUGGGGUGCUCGAGUGGCGAACGGGUGAGUAACACGUGAGUAACCUGCCCUUGACUUUGGGAUAACUUCAGGAAACUGGGGCUAAUACCGGAUAGGAGCUCCUGCUGCAUGGUGGGGGUUGGAAAGUUUCGGCGGUUGGGGAUGGACUCGCGGCUUAUCAGCUUGUUGGUGGGGUAGUGGCUUACCAAGGCUUUGACGGGUAGCCGGCCUGAGAGGGUGACCGGCCACAUUGGGACUGAGAUACGGCCCAGACUCCUACGGGAGGCAGCAGUGGGGAAUAUUGCACAAUGGGCGGAAGCCUGAUGCAGCAACGCCGCGUGCGGGAUGACGGCCUUCGGGUUGUAAACCGCUUUCGCCUGAGACGAAGCGUGAGUGACGGUAAUGGGUAAAGAAGCACCGGCUAACUACGUG